UUCUUCAACUUUAUAGUUGUUAAAGAUGUAUAACAAAUAAUAACUACUAUUUGCUAACACUUGACGUAACUAAAUUAUACACAAUUAACUAGAAAAAAUAAAAAAUUAAUCAUGUUACCAAACAAUACCUAAACAUUAAGGAGAUACAUAGCUAGCUUCUACGGCAUGCUUAAUAAAGUAUCGAAGCCUGUACAUAUGUGUUCGUCGAUGCAUUAACCUGAGUUGAUGUCUUUAUUGCAUAUAAAUUUUUGUUCUUUUCCAUUGCAAGGGCAUAGCCGCAUAGGUAAAUGCCACUGGUAAGUCCUUUUAGUAAAUCUUGCUGUCCCGGUAAGAUUUACAUCCUUUUUUUUGGGUAAUCAAUAAGAUUUACCUCUUGUGUAGUCCAACAAUCAUCAGAUUCAUUAGCAAACAUGUUGGCACUCAAUUAAUAAGUAAUUUAUAAUGGUUAUACACCAAUUUUAAGACUUAUGUAUAUUAGCUAAAAGCUAAAUGAGAUUCCACUUAAUUAGUCCGUACCUCUUUCGACAACAUGGUGGUUGGUUUAGGCUUCAUUAGAUACAUAUAUAGAGAGAGAGAGUGAGAAAUAUUUUCCUGGACUCCAUCAUCGAUUCAGAAGAAUAGGACUGUAUAUAUUAUCUUAACAAGAAACAUAACCACAUCGAAUGUGUGGCUUGAAAUUCUGAAUCUAUAUUGGUUUCAAAACUGGAGAACUAUCCAUCGCAUCACGUACAUUGGAGAGUCAAAGAUAUAAUGAUAAUAAAAUGACAUUAACUUUCAUAUUUAAUUAAUGAACAAUGAAAAAAGUAGAGAAAUCAUGCAGUUACAGUGACGAUAUUAAUUGUUUGUGCAUAUUGUGUGUAUUUAUAUACCAUUUCAGCUUUUAAUAUUGUAAAAUUAAGAUAUUUGAUUAAUACAGAACUAUAUACAUGUAUAUAUAUAUAUAUAUGGUGAAGAUAAACCAAGCUCGUAGAAUCACGCAUCACGAAUUUUGCAAAUUCUCUCUCCAUCAUUACGUGCUAAUUUGCUAUGAUAUGAACAUGUAAAUAGUGUGAACUCUUACUGUAUAUGUAAGAAUACAAACAAUUUUGCUAGAAAGGACGAUGCUGUCCAAUUUUAUGGGCAACAAGCAAACUCUUAAUUUCAAAAAUUUGAUCAGUUAUAUGGAGGUAUUAAAUUCUCACAGCCGAAAAUUUGCUUGCUACCUAUAACAAAAUUUUAUUAAUAUUGGAAACAAAAAUUCUAAUUUGUAUUUGAAAUAUGUUAUCGAUAGAUGAUAAAUCUCUCAAUAUAAAAAAGUUGUGUAAAGAAUGAUCACAUAUUGUCACAUGCAUGCAUAGUUUACUUAAUUGCUCAGGGUCGAUUAUAUCAUACCUUUAGCGUGAGCUGUGCUGUGAUCUUUAUAAGAGGCCGUCUCAUGAGUGUGACAAUAAAUUUUAUAAGCAGAAGUAGUUGAAGGGCAACUCUCCUUUGGCGGGCCAUAUACAAUAAUAAUAAUAAUACAUAUAAUAAUGAUCAUAUUAUAUGUAUAUGAUCAUUGCCUGCCGAAGGAGAGAAGCCGUACAACUAGCUCGCUUAGUACUCUUGGAUUAUCACAAAUAUCUACUCCAUGCCAAAGAGACAAGCUCUUGCUUAAUUAUGUUCAAGAGGGGAGGUUCACCUGAGCUUUUAUAUAUGAAGAGGCUGGUGUAGCAAUGGGAAUAAGGGGUUCGAGAAAUAGCAUAUGCUGCGGAUAUGCUUUGGUUAAUUAGGAAGGAAGAGAAAAAGGAGGUUGAAGAGAGGAGAUAGAUGCCCUUUUACAAAUUGGAAGCUAGCAGCAAAAAAAAAAAAAUCCCAAGACCUAAAAGGUAUAUCCUGUGUCAUAUUCUAUUUUUAUUUUAUCUUUUGGCUUUCUGGAUUUUUAUUUUUAUUUUUUGGGGCAAGGUGUCUAUUUUGUGUUUGAAAAUCUGAAUGGUAGUUUUCAUAUGCUGGUCCAAUCAGAAUAAACCCCAGCUCAAACUGCUCUUGUAGACUUUAUUUCUUUUUUUCCAUUUGUCUGGUCUAUUAAACACCUGAUUUUCCCCCAUAUAUUGCUAUAGUAGGGGUAUACCAUAUGUAUAGUGUUUGGUACUAGCUACCCUAACUUUUAAAAUUUUGCUUCUUGUGGGAUCAUCAUUGAGCUCUAAUUAAUGCAAUUAGAUGAGCUACUUGUGUAAA